rnacentral:lncRNA from 11 species
UUUGAAACUGGGCAUUUUGGCUUCUUUUUUCUCAUAAAAUUUUCUUGAGCAUUUUCAAGUUUUUUCAAGCUGAGAAACAAAAAAGAGGAUGAGACCUCCAGAGCCACAAGGAAUGCUUGCGGAGGAGCCCUCUCUCCAGACGCAGAUCAUUGAAGUGAGGCCAGUGUCCAAGUUUCUGGGGAGAGAAAAGCUCCCCUGGGAGGUCAGCAGCCUGGAGGUGGAGAUGGGGAGCCUGACCUCUUCCGAGAGUGCAGAGAGCAGCUUCCUCUCAGAGAAAAUUCUAACUUCCCCAAAGAACAAACUACCCAGAGAGUUGGUGAGUGAAAGAAGGGGGCUGGAAAGAGGGGAGUUUGCCUCGCUUCUUCCUUUGGGAGACGGUUUCUGGCUCAGAGCACCCACUUCCCUCUUCCUCCUCCUCAACAGGGUUCAAAGGAAGUUGGGAUCCCUUUGGAGAUCCUGA